rnacentral:rRNA from 1 species
AUUGAACGCUGGCGGCGUGCUUAACACAUGCAAGUCGAUCGGUAACGCGGGGGCAACCCUGGCGACGAGAGGCGGACGGGUGAGGAACGCUUGGGAAUCUGCCCAUCAGCGGGGGACAACACGGGGAAACUCGUGCUAAUACCGCAUACGCUCUACGGAGGAAAGCCGGGGACCGCAAGGCCUGGCACUGAUAGAUGAGCCCAAGCCGGAUUAGCUAGUUGGCGGGGUAACGGCCCACCAAGGGGACGAGCCGUAGCUGGUCUGAGAGGACGAUCAGCCAAACUGGGACUGAGGCACGGCCGAGACUGCUACGGGAGGCAGAGGUGGGGAAUAUUGAACAAUGGGGGGAACCCUGAUCCAGCGACGCCGCGUGGGUGAAGCAGGCCUGCGGGUUGUAACGCCCUUUCGGUAGGGACGAAAGCUCUCGACCUAACACGUCGGGAGGUUGACUUAACCUACAAAAGAAGCACCGGCUAACUCUGUGCCAGCCGCCGCUGUAAUAC